rnacentral:rRNA from 1 species
GAUGAACGCUGGCGGCGUGCCUAAUACAUGCAAGUCGAGCGAACGGACGAGAAGCUUGCUUCUCUGAUGUUAGCGGCGGACGGGUGAGUAACACGUGGAUAACCUACCUAUAAGACUGGGAUAACUUCGGGAAACCGGAGCUAAUACCGGAUAAUAUUUUGAACCGCAUGGUUCAAAAGUGAAAGACGGUCUUGCUGUCACUUAUAGAUGGAUCCGCGCUGCAUUAGCUAGUUGGUAAGGUAACGGCUUACCAAGGCAACGAUGCAUAGCCGACCUGAGAGGGUGAUCGGCCAACCUGGACCUGGGACACGGUCCAGCCUCCACCGGAGGGCAGCGGUGGGGAAUCUUCCGCAAUGGGCGAAAGCCUGACGGAGCAACGCGGCGUGGGUGAUGAAGGUCUUCGGAUCGUAAACCUCUGUUAUUGGGAAAGAACAUAUGUGUAAGUACCUGUGCCCAUCUGACCGGUACCUAAUCAAAAGGCCCCGGCUACCUACGG